rnacentral:rRNA from 1 species
GACGAACGCUGGCGGCGUGCUUAACACAUGCAAGUCGAACGGAAAGGCCCCUUUGGGGGUACUCGAGUGGCGCACGGGUGCGUAACACGUGAGUAACCUGCCCUUGACUUCGGGAUAACUUCAGGAAACUGGGGCUAAUACCGGAUAGGAAUCCUUGCUGCAUGGUGGGGGUUGGAAAGCUUCGGCGGUUUUGGAUGGACUCGCGGCUUAUCAGCUUGUUGGUGGGGUAGUGGCUUACCAAGGCUUUGACGGGUAGCCGGCCUGAGAGGGCGACCGGCCACAUUGGGACUGAGAUACGGCCCAGACUCCUACGGGAGGCAGCAGUGGGGAAUAUUGCACAAUGGGCGGAAUCCUGAUGCAGCAACGCCGCGUGCGGGAUGACGGCCUUCGGGUUGUAAACCGCUUUCAGCAGGGGCGAAGCUUGUGGUGACGGUACCUGCAGAAGAAGCACCGGCUAACUACGUG